UACGGAGGGUCCAAGCGUUAUCCGGAAUCAUUGGGUUUAAAGGGUCCGUAGGCGGUUUUGUAAGUCAGUGGUGAAAGCCCAUCGCUCAACGGUGGAACGGCCAUUGAUACUGCAAGACUUGAAUUAUUGGGAAGCAACUAGAAUAUGUAGUGUAGCGGUGAAAUGCUUAGAUAUUACAUGGAAUACCAAUUGCGAAGGCAGGUUGCUACCAAUACAUUGACGCUGAUGGACGAAAGCGUGGGGAGCGAACGAGGAUUAUGAA
rnacentral:rRNA from 1 species